rnacentral:lncRNA from 1 species
UGAUAAUUCCCCUCGUCACUGAUUUCUCUGCUUUUCAGCUCAAUGUGCUCGCUUUAGAAACAGGGCUGCCUCUCAAAGCGAUCGCUGGGUGACCGGCGCCCUCUAGUGGUGACUUCGGCAAGGACGCUGGAAGGGAGUUAGAGGUUCAAAGCUGACCACCCAAACCCACAGGAGCCUUCUAGCCCUUUCCUGGUUUUGGAGACAGCGGGACAUAAAGGCCACAGGCAGUGGCUCCAGGGAAUUGUUUAUCUUCGGUGGACUCUCCAAGGUGUUAGUAGAGGACUUGGGAGGGAAAGAGCAUAGCAGCAUGAGCCCCUCCGCCAGCGAGGCAGAUUUAAGUGGCAUAUUUACAUCCUGUCUGCAUGGGAACUUGAUAAACAGCUCCAGCAAAUUGGAUGGGAAUGCAGAGGAAAAGAAGAUCUUCACGAGGAUUUCUACAAUCAGCCUUGGCAUCAGCACCCAGCGGCCUCAUUGGCCCUGUGAUUUUUGCUGCCUUCCUUCAGUUGCUCUACUUGACAGCAAAGACUGCUGACAGCCCAGCUGAAUUCCCUAAACUCUGAUUGUCUAUCAGACCAAAAGAUGACAAAUGAGGUUUUCACGCUCAUUGAUGAGCACAUCACGAAAAUGACAUAAUGGUGUAAUUUUUUUGCCCGAAGACAAGGAACAAGAUGUACUGGAAAUCAUUGUGUUUCAUGUUUUUGUUCCCUUCCCACCUUCAUCUGACCACAGUUGUCACUCAGAACUCUUAGAGAGGAGCAGAAACGGCUGCCGUCCUUUGAGUGGCUGUCUGGGUGUGUGUCCAGGUCAAGGUCACACUUAUCAGUGCCCAGGACAUGCUUUUCGUACUGGGAGGGGUUAUCCCAGGAACAUUUUACAGGCUGUUAACUGACAGCCUUAAAAUUGGAUGUGACACCCUGAAUAACACCUUUUGGGGGAGAAAACUUGACAGACACCCAUCUAGAGAAAUAACGACCUAUUUAUGUCCCACCUAAACAAUACUUGAGCAGUACACGAGUUCUUGAAGAGAAGAGUUUGAAGAACUUUGUGAUACUGCUCUUGAGCCACUUUUGACAAUGAGCCCAAAUGAACUUGUUCAGUUAUUCAGGUUGGAGUUAGUAUCCAGGUGAACAGUUUGGUGUAGGGUUUUGUUUUUUUUAGUCUUAUGAAAAGUCAUUCAGUGUCACCCACUGACCAGCUCAGCCUAGACCCACACGCAGGUUCAGCUUGAAAGUCCUGACUUCUGCCCCAUGGGUGGGGCAGGGUUCCCAGAGAGCUGGUGCUUCCAUCAGACAGAUGGCCUGUGAUGAGUCUACAGGGCUUCCAAACUACAACCAGAAAGUUUGCUGUUUUCUCUAAAGGGUGCUUUAUAGAAUUUUAUUUUAAACAAGAUUCUAAAUUCAGGAGGUUAAGCCAAAAAUGGGCAUGAUGGAAAUUACCAUUCAAAUAUGCAUAGUUUUUUCCCCUUUAUUAGUACAGGCCACCAUUUCUUUGGUUUAGUAUAAGCUAACUCAGUGAGCUUGUGUUCUGUUGGC